rnacentral:other from 1 species
GUGAGGCUGCGAAGUGCGUAGGUGUUCAUGAGUCCCCGGGGCCAAUAACGAUACCAUAGGGAGCUGUCCCUGUUUACCUCGUGGGGUAAUUACACGGCGCCCACCUGCUUUGGCAGGCCUAUGGUGGACCUAGUAAAUAUCACGGCUUAUGUGGCUUCACU